rnacentral:lncRNA from 1 species
AUUCAAUGCAAUAUGAAUUGUAAAAUUUUCCAUACAGCUAGAUGUCUCAGAUGGCAUUCCCUCAGUCAUUUUAGGUGAUCCCUUCCCUAACCUCAAGUAGUUUUGCAUAAUGUGAUGGCUAAGAUGGAUUGUCCGUGGGAUCAGAUUAGAAACUCUCCAGGGGAUAAUGCAGCAUACGUCUGGCAGUGUCUGGAAGUUACAGAGGCCUUACUCCAGUUACUACUAUAGAUAUAGACCCUGGACCCUUCCCCUCAGGAGCUUUCCCUGCUCUGUUUCCCAGUCAACAUGACCUAAGUAGAUUUACUCUACCACACUUUACUACCAUGGUAGUCUGCCUUGGAACCACGCAAAACAUGCACUGAAUCACCUGUGUUUUUGUUAACUUUACUUCUUGCUGAGACAAAUACCUGACACCCAAAAGUUAAAGGAGGAAAGAUUUACUGUAGUUCACAGUUUGCAGAGGGUUUAGUUUGUAAUUUCUGGCUCCAAGGCAGGGUGGCACAGUAGAAGGGCAUCACAGAGGAGAAGGAGUCUAUGGUGAGCAGAAGGCAGGAAAGCAGCAAUCAAAGACACAAGCAGAAAGUGAUGACAGCAGCCUUCUUUUUAUCCCUUAUAUUCUAUCCAGGCUACAGGCUCUUAGAGUGGUAGCACUGACACCCAGGGUGGGCCUUCCCAUUACCCAUGCCUACAAUGAUGCCAAACCAAUUAGUGGACUAAUUUAGUUAUCACACAUCCUUAUCCCCAGCAUCACAUACCCUAGAUCCAGCCAUCCCUGAAAUUCCCCACCUAUGACCGCAUGAGGCUUUGAGGGGACAUGUAGACACAGCCAUAGCACCCUGGGGCCAUGAGCCAGGUCAAACAUCUCUUUCUUUGAGUUGUAGGUGUUAGUAUUAUGUCCCAGAGACAGGAGACUGGCUAAUGCACAUGGAGAUGCUGUCAUGGUUUGGGUUUGAUCUGUCCCCCAUUGUCACUGUGCUGGGAGCUUUCUUCCAGGGUGGCAGUCUGGAGGCUGAUAGAACAUUUUUAUUGUUGUUUUUUGUUUCCUUUUUUUUUUUUUUUUUUUUUUUUUUUGUUUUAGGUGGCUCUGAGGAUCAAACUCGUCCGGACAUUGUGUUUCUUGUGCUUGCAAGGCAGGCAGUGGAACCACAGCUAAAUCCCUGGCCUAACAGAACCUUUCUGAGAGAUUUAUAAAAAAAAUCAUCAGUAAUUACAUCUUAUUGACUUUUGAUUGUUUCAAAAAACUCAAAAAAAAUGCAUUAAAAAUGCACUACAUUCUUUAAAAGUGGUCUGAAAAAGGAGUUUCCAAAAAAUUUCAUGAAUGGUAACAUCAUCACCAAAUCUCUGGCCUCUCAAGGUAAAUAUGCUCUUUAAAUUCUAUUUUAUUUGAGUACAUGGUCAGAGUUUCAUGUAAGUCUUUCUCAAUGCCAUGCAGUUUCCCCUGUUAUUAAUAUAUUGAAUUAUGUGGUAUAUUUGUUAUAAUUAAUGAACUAAUAUUGAUAUAAUAACCUGAGUCCCAUAAUUUAUAUUACGGUGACAUAUGCCUGUAAUCCCAGCACUUUGUGAAACAGAGGCAGGAGGAUCACAAGUGCAAAUCCAGCCUGGCCAACUUAGCAAGACUCUAGCACGCCUGUAAUGCCAACACUUAGGAGGCUGAGGCAGGAGGAUUGCUGUGAGUUUGAGACCAGCCUUGGCUACAUAGUGAGUUCCAGUUCAGUCUGAACUACAUAUUGAGACUCUGUCUCAAAAAACCAAAANNNNNNNNNNNNNNNNNNNNNNNNNNNAAAAAAAAAAAAAAAAAAAAAAAAAAAAAAAGAUUCUAUCUAAAACGAAAAAUAAAACAAACCAAAGAAAUCACUGGGAUUGAACAUUAGCACAAAGCCCUGGGUUCAGUUCUUGAACCACAAACACACGUAAGUUCACUUUUUAUGUUGGAUAGUCUCGUGGGUUUAAUAAGUCCACAAUACCAUUAGUGUGUCGAUACCUAUAGUGUGUCAUCAUAAAUAAUAGUUUAAUCAACCUAGAAAAUACUUUUCUGUAUUUUUUCUUUCUCAUGAAUGUCAUGUGAUUGGAAUUAUGCAGAAUGUGGCCUCCCCAGACUGGCUUCUUUCACUUAAUAAAAGGCAUUUUCAGGUUCCUGUGUUUUUGGUUUGUUUGUCUAUUCACUCAAAGAAG